rnacentral:lncRNA from 1 species
UGGAGAGCAAUUUAUUCUACCCCACAAGAGAGAGAAAGUUAGAGGAUAUUUGUUCCCCCUCCUCUAUCAAUCUUCUACAUCUUGCCCGUGCAAAGGACCGUCUUUCGUUGAUUUCUUCAUCUUCUCCGUGCUGCACCGAUGUAAGAAAAAUUUAAUUUUUCUUGCCUUCUUCUUGGAUUAGUGCUAUUGCGGGGCAGCCGUCGGGGUGGUGCAGUACGUCGGCUGGCAGGGGUCAGGAGUUGGCUCGGCAUGGGCCGAGGAGAUGUCGUG